rnacentral:rRNA from 1 species
AUGUACCCAGUUGGAAAGAGGUUGUAUACUUUAAAGCGGUAUGUGAGGAAUAGGGCAAGACCAGAAGGUUCAAUUGCUGAGGCAUAUAUUGCCGAUGAAUGCCUGACAUUUUGCUCCAAGUACAUGGAUGAUUUCGAAACCAUAUAUUAUCUGAAACCAAUAAAUGUAGGUUAUUCAGAUGAAGAAGCCUAUGGUGUUGACAUUUUUGGACAUGGAGUAAAUUUUACUUCAGGAUAUGAAUAUCAAUAUGUAUAUGACAAAAAAGAUUUUGAUCAAAUGAUGUGGUAUGUGUUGAACAAUUGUGGUCAAGCUCAGAAAUAUAUCGAAAUGUUCAGAGAUGAGUUAAAAAGAAAACGGGUGCCAAACAUUGAUAAAGAGCUUCAGAAAGAAUUCCAGACAUGGUUCAAGAACUAUAUCAUGAGGUUGCGGGAUGAACACUGCAAAGAAAUAGAUGAAGAUCUCUUUUCCUUGGCAUGUGAACCUGAUCGGAGAGUUAGAAAAUACUCAUCAUGCAUAGUGAAUGGUAUUAGAUAUACCACUGUUGACCGUGAUAGCAACAAGAGAACACAAAACAGUGGAGUCAUGGCCGAAGGUGAACAUGGCAGUAAGGUCAUAGAUUUUUAUGGAACCUUGAAAGAGAUCAUCCAGUUGGACUAUAACUCCAACGAUAACUUGGACGACAGACACAAAGUACGGGAAAAAUUGGCAAGUUGUGCAAACAUUUGA